UACGUAGGGCGCAAGCGUUGUCCGGAAUUAUUGGGCGUAAAGAGCUCGUAGGCGGCCUGUUGCGUCCGCUGUGAAAUCCCGGGGCUCAACCCCGGGCCUGCAGUGGAUACGGGCUGGCUAGAGGCAGGCAGGGGAGAACGGAAUUCCUGGUGUAGCGGUGAAAUGCGCAGAUAUCAGGAGGAACACCAAUGGCGAAGGCAGAUCUCUGGGCCGUAACUGACGCUGAGGAGCGAAAGCAUGGGGAGCGAACAGG
rnacentral:rRNA from 1 species